rnacentral:rRNA from 1 species
GUAGGUGGCAAGCGUUGUCCGGAAUUAUUGGGCGUAAAGCGCGCGCAGGCGGUUUUUUAAGUCUGAUGUGAAAGCCCACGGCUCAACCGUGGAGGGUCAUUGGAAACUGGAGAACUUGAGUACAGAAGAGGAAAGCGGAGUUCCACGUGUAGCGGUGAAAUGCGUAGAGAUGUGGAGGAACACCAGUGGCGAAGGCGGCUUUUCUGGUCUGUAACUGACGCUGAGGCGCGAAAGCGUGGGGAGCAAACAGGGAUUAGAUACCCUGGUAGUCCACGCCGUAAACGAUGAGUGCUAAGUGUUAGGGGGGUUUCCGCCCCCUUAGUGCUGCAGCUAACGCAUUAAGCACUCCGCCUGGGGAGUACGGCCGCAAGGCUG